UACGUAGGGACCAAGCGUUGUUCGGAUUUACUGGGCGUAAAGGGCGCGUAGGCGGCACUUUAAGUCAGUUGUGAAAUCUCCGAGCUUAACUCGGAACGGGCAACUGAUACUGUCUUGCUAGAGUACAGAAGGGGCAAUCGGAAUUCUUGGUGUAGCGGUGAAAUGCGUAGAUAUCAAGAGGAACACCUGAGGUGAAGACGGGUUGCUGGGCUGAUACUGACGCUGAGGCGCGAAAGCUAGGGUAGCAAACGGG
rnacentral:rRNA from 1 species